GCCGGUGAUAAACCGGAGGAAGGUGGGGAUGACGUCAAGUCAUCAUGGCCCUUACGACCAGGGCUACACACGUGCUACAAUGGCGCAUACAAAGAGAAGCGACCUCGCGAGAGCAAGCGGACCUCAUAAAGUGCGUCGUAGUCCGGAUUGGAGUCUGCAACUCGACUCCAUGAAGUCGGAAUCGCUAGUAAUCGUGGAUCAGAAUGCCACGGUGAAUACGUUCCCGGGCCUUGUACACACCGCCCGUCACACCAUGGGAGUGGGUUGCAAAAGAAGUAGGUAGCUUAACCUUCGGGAGGGCGGCUUACCACUUUGUGAUUCAUGACUGGGGUGAAGUCGUAACAAGGUAACCGUAGGGGAACCUGCGGUUGGAUCACCUCCUUACCUGCAAGA
rnacentral:rRNA from 1 species